UGUCAAGGGAUUGGAAUCGAACCCACGACCUUCCCCUUACUGGGCAGAUGCCAUGACCACUAGGCUACCCUGGAC
rnacentral:tRNA from 1 species